rnacentral:rRNA from 1 species
GAUCCUGGCUCAGGACGAACGCUGGCGGCACGCUUAACACAUGCAAGUCGAACGAGAGAAGAGAAGCUUGCUUUUCUGAUCUAGUGGCGGACGGGUGAGUAACACGUGAGCAAUCUGCCUUUCAGAGGGGGGAGUACCGAUUGGAAACGAUCGUUAAUACCGCAUAAUAUAAUUGAACCGCAUGAUUUGGAUUAUCAAAGAUUUAUCGCUGAAAGAUGAGCUCGCCGU